rnacentral:SRP_RNA from 1 species
GCCAGGUGCAGUGGUGCAGACCUGCAGUCCCAGCUACUAGGGAGACUGAGGCAGGAGGAUCUUGAGGCCAGGAGUUCUGGACUGUAGUGCACUAUGCUGAUCCGGUAUCCACACUAAGUUCCGCAUUGAUGUGGUGACUUCCCGGGAGCAGCGGACCCCCCCCACCAAGUUGCCUAAGGAGGGGUGCACUGGUCCAGGUUGAAAAUGGAGCAGCUCAAAACUUCCUUGCUGAUCAAUAGUGGGAUCGCAUCUGUGAAUAGCCACUGCCCUCCAACCUGGGCAAUAUAGCAAAACCCUGACUCU